rnacentral:rRNA from 1 species
AUGGACUGGCCGGGCACCAGGCCGGAAGGCCCGCACAAGGCCGCAAGGCCGCAUGCAGGUAUUGGCUCCUCCUCUAGCUGCUCGGAUCUACACCGUCGGUGGUCUGCCGUCAAAUACAUGAAUGGCGGUCGGCCAGGCUCGGUGCUGGCCCUAAAGCUCAUUGGCGCACCGUUGCCACUCAUUAAGUGCGAUGACUGCCCAAAGAAGGUCUUGCAUCGCGUGUCUACAACGCCGGAACAUUCCAAAUGGGUGUUCAUCAGACAGGAUGCGGUUGGGAUGCGUCCACAUGCGGCGCUCGACCGGCUGCCAGCGGAGAGGAUACCCUCGUUGGCCACACGCCUCCUCAAGGCCGGCGUGUGCUUCGGCUUGCUCGACCCGGUGUCCAACAUCAUCGCCAACAUCAUAUCCUACACACCCAUCCCCGAGGAGGAGGAAAUCGAGGAGGAAGAGGAUGAUGUGAAGGAUUCGAUCAUCUCUAGGGUGAGGACCAACACAAAAUAUAGACAAAUCUUUGAUAUACCGUUGUACCGAGAGACGGUCGACUCCAUGACUAUGGAACGACAGUCGCUGGAGGGUCUUGUCACCUUCCUUUGCUUCCAGUACCGCUACUUGGAGAAAAAAGAGGCAAUGCGCUACCUGUGCCUGGCCGAAGGCGACCCCCUCGGUGCCACGCAGCUCCAUGAGCAAGACCGUAACAGGAGCCCGGACGAGGCGGCGUUCAGUACCAUCUCCCUCACGACGCAAGUAGCCGUGGAGUGUGUCGCCGUUUUUGCGAGGCACCCUGAACCGGCCACCUUGGUGUGCGUGUCGUUGGCAUCUCCGCCGGUCAAGGUGUCCAGGAUCCUUCGGGCGCACUACGGCAUAUGCCCUGCAGCCGUCAAGCGCCUGGCCAAGCUUCUCAGGGCCUCCAUUGGUCUUGCUACCCCACGUGUCGACAAUAGGAAGAAGAAGAAGAAGAAGAAUAAGAAGAAGAAAAGAAAGAGGGACGAUCUGACACCGGUGAACACAGAAUCCGCGGACUGGAAGCCAGGCAUGCACGUAGCAUUCGGGCACACGCUGACUCUGAAGCUCCUGCUCCUCGGCAAGAUCCAUCUCAUCACGACUGAAUGGGCCAGAGACAUGGGAGGAAUCGAUCCUUCUUAA